CGCCAUUAAACCAAAAGAACAAGAUGAAGGUGGCGCCUGUUGAAGUAAUUCCAGUGGAAGGCCAAUAGACAAUAAAAGAUCAAUGGACAGCAUUGUGGUCAACACUUGGACAGAAUGGCAGCUGACAGACCUUGUAGAAAGAUUUAAAGAGGAGGGGAUUGAGUUUUUUUCUUUUAGAUGAGGGGUCCACCAUCCACUUCAUCCCAAGAA